UACGUAGGGCGCAAGCGUUGUCCGGAAUUAUUGGGCGUAAAGAGCUCGUAGGCGGCUUGUCACGUCAGAUGUGAAAGCCCGGGGCUUAACCCCGGGUCUGCAUUCGAUACGGGCUAGCUAGAGUGUGGUAGGGGAGAUCGGAAUUCCUGGUGUAGCGGUGAAAUGCGCAGAUAUCAGGAGGAACACCGGUGGCGAAGGCGGAUCUCUGGGCCAUUACUGACGCUGAGGAGCGAAAGCGUGGGGAGCGAACAGG
rnacentral:rRNA from 1 species